UACGAAGGGGGCUAGCGUUGCUCGGAAUUACUGGGCGUAAAGCGCACGUAGGCGGCUUUGUAAGUUAGAGGUGAAAGCCCGGGGCUCAACUCCGGAAUUGCCUUUAAGACUGCAUCGCUAGAAUUGUGGAGAGGUAAGUGGAAUUCCGAGUGUAGAGGUGAAAUUCGUAGAUAUUCGGAAGAACACCAGUGGCGAAGGCGGCUCACUGGCCCGGUACUGACGCUGAGGUGCGAAAGCGUGGGGAGCAAACAGG
rnacentral:rRNA from 1 species